rnacentral:rRNA from 1 species
UGGGAGGUAAAUUUCUCCUAAGGCUAAAUAUUGGCGAGAGACCGAUAGCGAACAAGUACCGUGAGGGAAAGAUGAAAAGUACUUUGAAAAGAGAGUUAAAUAGCACGUGAAAUUGUUGAAAGGGAAACGAUUGAAGCCAGUCGUACCGGCGGAUAAUCAGCCUUUCGGGUGCGAUUCUGUGGGGCGUGAGGAGCUUAACCGCCUUCAUGUUUUGCAUAUUCGUGCACAUUUGGUGUACUUGUCCGUGUGGUGGGUUAACAUCAAUUUCGGUCGGCAUAAAAUGAUUGGAGGAAUGUAGCUUUGGUCUCGUAUCGAAGUGUUAUAGACUCUGGUAGAUGUGACGAUUGGGAUUGAGGAUUGCAACGGAUACCCCUUCGGGGGCUACCCGUCUGAUCUCUGAAGGUUGCUCCGGUGCCGAAAGCGUGCUUACGGUCAUCGAAAGUGAUUUUCAAAAGGUUAGAACGGGUUAAAUUCGUUAAGGAUGUUGACGUAAUGGCUUUAAACGACCCGUCUUGAAACACGGACCAAGGAGUCUAACAUAUAUGCGAGUGUUUGGGUGAUUAAACCCUUACGCGUAAUGAAAGUAAUUUUGGUGGGAUCACUUGUGUGCACCAUCGACC